GACGAACGCUGGCGGCGUGCCUAAUACAUGCAAGUCGAGCGGAAGUUGAAGAGCUUGCUCUUCAACUUUAGCGGCGGACGGGUGAGUAACACGUGGGCAACCUGCCCUGCAGAUCGGGAUAACUCCGGGAAACCGGUGCUAAUACCGAAUAGUUUUCGCCACCUCCUGGUGGCGUACGGAAAGACGGUUUCGGCUGUCACUGCAGGAUGGGCCCGCGGCGCAUUAGCUAGUUGGUGGGGUAACGGCCCACCAAGGCGACGAUGCGUAGCCGACCUGAGAGGGUGAUCGGCCACACUGGGACUGAGACACGGCCCAGACUCCUACGGGAGGCAGCAGUAGGGAAUCUUCCGCAAUGGACGAAAGUCUGACGGAGCAACGCCGCGUGAGUGACGAAGGUUUUCGGAUCGUAAAACUCUGUUGUGAGGGAAGAACAAGUACCAACUAACUACUGGUACCUUGACGGUACCUCACCAGAAAGCCACGGCUAACUACGUGCCAGCAGCCGCGGUAAUACGUA
rnacentral:rRNA from 1 species